CCUACGGGAGGCAGCAGUGAGGAAUAUUGGUCAAUGGGCGCGAGCCUGAACCAGCCAAGUAGCGUGAAGGAUGACUGCCCUACGGGUUGUAAACUUCUUUUAUAAAGGAAUAAAGUGAGGCACGUGAGCCUUUUUGUAUGUACUUUAUGAAUAAGGAUCGGCUAACUCCGUGCCAGCAGCCGCGGUAAUACGGAGGAUCCGAGCGUUAUCCGGAUUUAUUGGGUUUAAAGGGAGCGGAGUUGGGAUGUUAAGUCAGUUGUGAAAGUUUGCGGCUCAACCGUAAAAUUGCAAUUGAUACUGGCAGUCUUGAGUACAGUAGAGGUAGGCGGAAUGCGUGGUGUAGCGGUGAAAUGCUUAGAUAUCACGAAGAACUCCGAUUGCGAAGGCAGCCUACUAGACUGCAACUGACGUUGAUGCUCGAAAGUGUGGGUAUCAAACAGGAUUAGAUACCCGUGUAGUC
rnacentral:rRNA from 1 species